UCGAGCGGAUGAAGGGAGCUUGCUCCUGGAUUCAGCGGCGGACGGGUGAGUAAUGCCUAGGAAUCUGCCUGGUAGUGGGGGAUAACGUCCGGAAACGGGCGCUAAUACCGCAUACGUCCUGAGGGAGAAAGUGGGGGAUCUUCGGACCUCACGCUAUCAGAUGAGCCUAGGUCGGAUUAGCUAGUUGGUGGGGUAAAGGCCUACCAAGGCGACGAUCCGUAACUGGUCUGAGAGGAUGAUCAGUCACACUGGAACUGAGACACGGUCCAGACUCCUACGGGAGGCAGCAGUGGGGAAUAUUGGACAAUGGGCGAAAGCCUGAUCCAGCCAUGCCGCGUGUGUGAAGAAGGUCUUCGGAUUGUAAAGCACUUUAAGUUGGGAGGAAGGGCAGUAAGUUAAUACCUUGCUGUUUUGACGUUACCAACAGAAUAAGCACCGGCUAACUUCGUGCCAGCAGCCGCGGUAAUACGAAGGGUGCAAGCGUUAAUCGGAAUUACUGGGCGUAAAGCGCGCGUAGGUGGUUCAGCAAGUUGGAUGUGAAAUCCCCGGGCUCAACCUGGGAACUGCAUCCAAAACUACUGAGCUAGAGUACGGUAGAGGGUGGUGGAAUUUCCUGUGUAGCGGUGAAAUGCGUAGAUAUAGGAAGGAACACCAGUGGCGAAGGCGANCACCUGGACUGAUACUGACACUGANGU
rnacentral:rRNA from 1 species